GGGCUGGUCUUCCCUGGCACAGGGGGCCUCGAGCUGGUACACAGCAUCCCAUGGAGGACCGAGAUCUCCUUCUCCGUCUUUGGCUCCCCAGCACCCAGUGGUGGACCAGCUGGCAGGACAGAGUGCGUGGUCACCUUGACCGCCGAGUACACCAUGGUAUGGCCUCACUCUCUUCAGAGUCCGAGUCGGCGCCCGCUGGAGGGGUCGGGCCCCCACCCCCAAGAGGGGGCCCAGCCAGGCCUCCUCCACUUCGUCCUCCUCCCCUAAAGACGUCCCCCACCAUCUCAAUGUACACAGGCUCUUCCUGGGCACCCACAUCAGGGUCCCCAGCUACUCGGGACCCCCUAGUGAGGCGCUGAAGAGGCAGGUUCCCCCCUCGAGGAGAGGGGCCUGGGGGGCAGGACUCCUCGAAGGAGACAGAGAGCUGGGUGUUAGGGCUUCGCCUGGGCUUCUGCGGAGGAACCUUCCGGCUGGACUCUCGGCCCUCUGGGGUUGGCUUCUGUGAGCCUGGACAGGACAAGAAAGAGAAAAAUAAACCAGGCUUUUA
rnacentral:lncRNA from 1 species